GUGCUCGCUUUGGCAGCACAUACACUAAAAUUGGAAUGAUACAGAGAAGAUGAACACGGCCCCCUGUGCAAGGAUGACAUGCAAAUUUGUGAAGCGUUCCAGAUUUUC
ensembl:snRNA U6 U6 spliceosomal RNA